rnacentral:rRNA from 1 species
CAGCCGCCACGGUAAUACGAAGGGUGCAAGCGUUAAUCGGAAUUACUGGGCGUAAAGCGUGCGUAGGCGGUGAGUUAAGUCUGCUGUGAAAUCCCCGGGCUCAACCUGGGAAUGGCUGUGGAUACUGGCUCGCUAGAGUGUGUCAGAGGAUGGUGGAAUUCCCGGUGUAGCGGUGGAAUGCGUAGAGAUCGGGAGGAACAUCAGUGGCGAAGGCGGCCAUCUGGGACAACACUGACGCUGAGGCACGAAAGCGUGGGGAGCAAACAGGAUUAGAGACCCCCGUAGUCCCUGUCUCUUAUAC